rnacentral:rRNA from 1 species
UACGGGGGGGGUAAGCGUUGUUCGGAAUUACUGGGCGUAAAGGGCUCGUAGGCGGCCAACUAAGUCAGACGUGAAAUCCCUCAGCUCAACCGAGGAACGUCGAUCGAUACUGCUGUUCUUGAGGAUUGCAGAGGAGACUGGAAUUCCCGGUGUAGCGGUGAAAUGUGUAGAGAUCGGGAGGAACACCGGUGGCGAAGGCGGGUCUCUGGGCAAUUCCUGACGCUGAGGCGCGAAAGCGUGGGGAGCAAACGGG